rnacentral:rRNA from 1 species
GGUUAAGCGACUAAGCGUACACGGUGGAUGCCCUGGCAGUCAGAGGCGAUGAAGGACGUGCUAAUCUGCGAAAAGCGCCGGCGAGGUGAUAUGAACCUUUGACCCGGCGAUGUCCGAAUGGGGAAACCCAGUGCAAUUCGUUGCACUAUCGUUAACUGAAUACAUAGGUUAACGAGGCGAACCGGGGGAACUGAAACAUCUAAGUACCCCGAGGAAAAGAAAUCAACCGAGAUUCCCCCAGUAGCGGCGAGCGAACGGGGAGCAGCCCAGAGUCUGAAUCAGCUUGUGUGUUAGUGGAAGCGUCUGGAAAGUCGCACGGUACAGGGUGACAGUCCCGUACACGAAAGCACACAGGCUGUGAACUCGAAGAGUAGGGCGGGACACGUGGUAUCCUGUCUGAAUAUGGGGGGACCAUCCUCCAAGGCUAAAUACUCCUGACUGACCGAUAGUGAACCAGUACCGUGAGGGAAAGGCGAAAAGAACCCCGGCGAGGGGAGUGAAAAAGAACCUGAAACCGUGUACGUACAAGCAGUGGGAGCACCUUCGUGGUGUGACUGCGUACCUUUUGUAUAAUGGGUCAGCGACUUAUAUUCUGUAGCAAGGUUAACCGUAUAGGGGAGCCGAAGGGAAACCGAGUCUUAACUGGGCGUUAAGUUGCAGGGUAUAGACCCGAAACCCGGUGAUCUAGCCAUGGGCAGGUUGAAGGUUGGGUAACACUAACUGGAGGACCGAACCGACUAAUGUUGAAAAAUUAGCGGAUGACUUGUGGCUGGGGGUGAAAGGCCAAUCAAACCGGGAGAUAGCUGGUUCUCCCCGAAAGCUAUUUAGGUAGCGCCUCGUGAACUCAUCUUCGGGGGUAGAGCACUGUUUCGGCUAGGGGGCCAUCCCGGCUUACCAACCCGAUGCAAACUACGAAUACCGAAGAAUGUUAUCACGGGAGACACACGGCGGGUGCUAACGUCCGUCGUGAAGAGGGAAACAACCCAGACCGCCAGCUAAGGUCCCAAAGUCAUGGUUAAGUGGGAAACGAUGUGGGAAGGCACAGACAGCCAGGAUGUUGGCUUAGAAGCAGCCAUCAUUUAAAGAAAGCGUAAUAGCUCACUGGUCGAGUCGGCCUGCGCGGAAGAUGUAACGGGGCUAAACCAUGCACCGAAGCUGCGGCAGCGACGCUUAUGCGUUGUUGGGUAGGGGAGCGUUCUGUAAGCCGUUGAAGGUGUCCUGUGAGGGGUGCUGGAGGUAUCAGAAGUGCGAAUGCUGACAUAAGUAACGAUAAAGCGGGUGAAAAGCCCGCUCGCCGGAAGACCAAGGGUUCCUGUCCAACGUUAAUCGGGGCAGGGUGAGUCGACCCCUAAGGCGAGGCCGAAAGGCGUAGUCGAUGGGAAACAGGUUAAUAUUCCUGUACUUGGUGUUACUGCGAAGGGGGGACGGAGAAGGCUAUGUUAGCCGGGCGACGGUUGUCCCGGUUUAAGCAUGUAGGCGGAACGAUUAGGUAAAUCCGGUCGUUUAUUAACGCUGAGGUGUGAUGACGAGGCACUACGGUGCUGAAGUAACAAAUGCCCUGCUUCCAGGAAAAGCCUCUAAGCAUCAGGUAACACGAAAUCGUACCCCAAACCGACACAGGUGGUCAGGUAGAGAAUACCAAGGCGCUUGAGAGAACUCGGGUGAAGGAACUAGGCAAAAUGGUGCCGUAACUUCGGGAGAAGGCACGCUGAUAUGUAGGUGAAGCCCCUGCGGGUGGAGCUGAAAUCAGUCGAAGAUACCAGCUGGCUGCAACUGUUUAUUAAAAACACAGCACUGUGCAAACACGAAAGUGGACGUAUACGGUGUGACGCCUGCCCGGUGCCGGAAGGUUAAUUGAUGGGGUUAGCGGCAACGCGAAGCUCUUGAUCGAAGCCCCGGUAAACGGCGGCCGUAACUAUAACGGUCCUAAGGUAGCGAAAUUCCUUGUCGGGUAAGUUCCGACCUGCACGAAUGGCGUAAUGAUGGCCAGGCUGUCUCCACCCGAGACUCAGUGAAAUUGAACUCGCUGUGAAGAUGCAGUGUACCCGCGGCAAGACGGAAAGACCCCGUGAACCUUUACUAUAGCUUGACACUGAACACUGGUCCUUGAUGUGUAGGAUAGGUGGGAGGCUUUGAAGCGUGGACGCCAGUCUGCGUGGAGCCGACCUUGAAAUACCACCCUUUAAUGGCUGGUGUUCUAACGUAGACCCGUAAUCCGGGUUGCGGACAGUGUCUGGUGGGUAGUUUGACUGGGGCGGUCUCCUCCCAAAGAGUAACGGAGGAGCACGAAGGUUAGCUAAUCCUGGUCGGACAUCAGGAGGUUAGUGCAAUGGCAUAAGCUAGCUUGACUGCGAGAGUGACGGCUCGAGCAGGUGCGAAAGCAGGUCAUAGUGAUCCGGUGGUUCUGAAUGGAAGGGCCAUCGCUCAACGGAUAAAAGGUACUCCGGGGAUAACAGGCUGAUACCGCCCAAGAGUUCAUAUCGACGGCGGUGUUUGGCACCUCGAUGUCGGCUCAUCACAUCCUGGGGCUGAAGUAGGUCCCAAGGGUAUGGCUGUUCGCCAUUUAAAGUGGUACGCGAGCUGGGUUUAGAACGUCGUGAGACAGUUCGGUCCCUAUCUGCCGUGGGCGCUGGAGAAUUGAGGGGGGCUGCUCCUAGUACGAGAGGACCGGAGUGGACGCAUCACUGGUGUUCGGGUUGUCAUGCCAAUGGCACUGCCCGGUAGCUAAAUGCGGAAAAGAUAAGUGCUGAAAGCAUCUAAGCACGAAACUUGCCCCGAGAUGAGUUCUCCCUGACCCUUUAAGGGUCCUGAAGGAACGUUGAAGACUACGACGUUGAUAGGUCGGGUGUGUAAGCGCAGCGAUGCGUUGAGCUAACCGAUACUAAUGAACCGUGAGGCUUAACCUU